GAUGAAGAACGCAGCGAAAUGCGAAAAGUAAUGUGAAUUGCAGAAUUCAGUGAAUCAUCGAAUCUUUGAACGCACAUUGCGCCCGUUAGCAUUCUAGCGGGCAUGCCUGUCCGAGCGUCAUUUCAACCCUCAGGGUCCCCGUUCCGGCGGGGAACCUGGUGUUGGGGAUCGGCCCGCCCCGCGCGGCGCCGUCCCCCAAAUUCAGUGGCGGUCUCGCUGCAGCCUCCCCUGCGUAGUAGUUACAACCUCGCAUCGGAGCUCAGCGCGGCCACGCCGUAAAACCCCCGACUUUCUGAACGUUGACCUCGGAUCAGGUAGGAAUACCCGCUGAACUUAAGCAUAUCAAUAAGCGGAGGA
rnacentral:misc_RNA from 1 species